rnacentral:rRNA from 1 species
GACGAACGCUGGCGGCGUGCCUAAUACAUGCAAGUUGAGCGAUGAAGAUUGGUGCUUGCACCAAUUUGAAGAGCAGCGAACGGGUGAGUAACGCGUGGGGAAUCUGCCUUUGAGCGGGGGACAACAUUUGGAAACGAAUGCUAAUACCGCAUAACAACUUUAAACAUAAGUUUUAAGUUUGAAAGAUGCAAUUGCAUCACUCAAAGAUGAUCCCGCGUUGUAUUAGCUAGUUGGUGAGGUAAAGGCUCACCAAGGCGAUGAUACAUAGCCGACCUGAGAGGGUGAUCGGCCACAUUGGGACUGAGACACGGCCCAAACUCCUACGGGAGGCAGCAGUAGGGAAUCUUCGGCAAUGGACGAAAGUCUGACCGAGCAACGCCGCGUGAGUGAAGAAGGUUUUCGGAUCGUAAAACUCUGUUGGUAGAGAAGAACGUUGGUGAGAGUGGAAAGCUCGUCAAGUGACGGUAACUACCCAGAAAGGGACGGCUAACUACGUG